GCAGUCGUGGGGCGCAGGGGUGUAGCAUACACUCGCUGGCGACCGGCAAACGGGUGCGGAACACGUACGCAAUCUACCCAAAACUGGUGAAUAGCCCUCCGAAAGGAGGAUUAAUACACCGUAACCUAUUGAAGUGGCAUCACUUUAUUAGUAUAGCUCCGGCGGUUUUGGAUGAGCGUGCGGCUGAUUAGGUAGUUGGCGGGGUAACGGCCCACCAAGCCUGCGAUCAGUAACUGGUGUGAGAGCACGACCAGUCACACGGGCACUGAGACACGGGCCCGACUCCUACGGGAGGCAGCAGUAAGGAAUAUUGGUCAAUGGACGCAAGUCUGAACCAGCCAUGCCGCGUGGAGGAUGAAGGCCCUCUGGGUUGUAAACUUCUUUUAUGGGGGACGAAACCCUGGUAUUCUUACCAGAUUGACGGUACCCUAGGAAUAAGCACCGGCUAACUCCGUGCCAGCAGCCGCGGUAAUACGGAGGGUGCAAGCGUUAUCCGGAUUCACUGGGUUUAAAGGGUGCGU
rnacentral:rRNA from 1 species